rnacentral:lncRNA from 1 species
UGACCAGGGCAUGGAAAUCAUGAGGCAUGUCCUUUUCAUCAACUUCUGUGCCAUUUAUUGUUGGCUAAGGUUAAGCACACCUGGUUGGUUACUGCGAUUUAGCUGGGCCAUAGUAACUUGUUGUCUCGGUGAACCAUCCUCUUAUUCUCCCCUUCAUUUUCUAAUAAAUACUCAGAUUUUUCUCAAAGGCUUUUUGAAGGCUUUGCCGUGCCCAAGGACUUUUGCUCCUACUUCAUUGUCUCCUAGAUUUAAAAACGAUUUUGCAUCCAGCACAACUUGUUUGCUAUGAGAUGUUACAGUGCCCGCUCUGUGAUGUGGCUCUGUACAGCAGCUCUUCAGAAGAGCUGUGUUAUUUUUUUUCCCCUCUUCUAUCAUUAACUUUAGUUUAUCCAUAACAAGUGCGCUGUCUGCUGUAAAUGUUAGUUGAAGCCUUACCGAGUGGAUAAUGUUUUACAGUCAUCUCUAUCAGCACUUUUUGGUCUCCAGUGAUGCUUAUGGAUGCAUUUCCUCUCGUCUCCUGGAGCAAUAUUUUACUCUUCGGCCAUUUGCUCUGUGACAGUUUCCUUCUGGUUUUUGGAAGAGAUUUUCAGCGAAUUGACUUGGGAGUUAAUACUGACCUGUUUCCUCAGCUUCAACAGCUGCUUGUACCCUGGCUCAUCCUGAUUUGGAAACCAACACUGUAAUGACUUUUCUGUCAACCUUUUGCAGUCAGUAUUCUUGGCCACACGUCAUGCUUUCCUGGAAUAAGCUGCCACGUGAUGUUCUGCAAGCAAGCUGAAACGUGCAUCUAGCCCAGUGGUUGGUUUGGGUCCUAAUGGGGGGUUCUUGUGACCCAGCCAUAGGGACAAGAUGUGUGGCACAGCUCUUCCUUCCUCCCAGCAGAGGAGAGUCAUGGAGAAGACCAAGCAAGUGCCUCCUUGGGACAGCGCUAGCUAUGAACCCGUGUCCUCUUAACUUCAGAGCGUUCCUAGGGGACCACUUCACCUUUUACAGAAUGAUUUAGUGGGAUGUGCGGGGUACAGAACACGAUUCCUGUGAGCCAGGAGGUUCUGGAACAAGGCAGCAAAACUUGCUCGGUGUAGACAAAGCCAUGUGACAGUCCCACCUAACAGCAACCAUGCUACUGGGAACGCAGACAAAGGUGUCACUGUGAUUAAUGGGGCACUCAUCUGAGCACCGCGUCCAGGAGCACAGGUUGCACCUUGCCCUGGUGGCCCGGCUUUUGCAGGCUUUGUCUGCUGUGAGUCCUGCUCAGAAAUGGCUGGAAGGAAUUCAAGGACAGAGGCAAAAAGGGCUACCAACCUGCAUCCUCAGAACUGUUCCCUGGGAUUCACUGCCAGGAUCCCCUGGAGCCCAUGGCACGUUCAGCUCCUGCACUGGCAACGUGGAUGUGUACCUGUGGUGCCGAAGCAUGGGGCUUAGCCUCAGACUCCCUCAGGAAGGGAAGGACGUGCAUCCUGCCUGUCCUGUGUUCCUCUCCAUGGACUCUUUCCAAGGUGUUGGUCUCCAGAAUGCUCCUGGCUCUGCUCUUCUUGGAAGCAAUGGUCUGCUCCUGCUGCUAGGAUCCAGUAACUCUUCCUGUAAGAAUGUGUUGCUUGGAUGUGAAGAGAUGCUAUCGAUCUUACAAUGGAGGUUGCAGAUGAAGGAGAAAAGGUUGGAAUUAAGCCGACAGCACUCAGCUGCUGUAAGAAAUUCUUUUAGGUUUUGCCCAUUUCAGAGGAGGGAAGAGGAAGGAGAUUUGUAAUCCAGAAGCCUUCCAGUUCAUGUUCCAACGAAAAUGGAGAACUUCAGAUUUCAAGUCACGUGUAUCCUUUUCUUGAAAUCUACCAAAAAUAUUUACAGGUACCUGGUGACCACACGAAGCAGUUUGAUUUGGAAUAAUGUGUUUCAUACAAAGUCAGACUGUGGUUUGUUCUCAUUUUGGUAAAAAGGAAAAAAAAAGUAUUUUAUUAUACUUGGGGGAACCAGAGCUGUUGGUUAUCUAACUCACUGUGAGACCCCAGAGGAAAGAUCUGAUUUGCUUAGUGUGUAAAGACAAUAUGCACAAACACGGAGGCAAAUAGGAAGAAAGGUUUGUUUGUUUUCCCCCACGUGCUGAUGUUUGGAACUGUGACAUUCUUCCAUGGUUCGUCCUGAUGAGGCUUGGUUCCGUACUGCCAGGUUAACCAAGGAAUCACACUGGUUGUCCUUAGCUUAUAUAGCAAGCAAGGGAAAAAUAUAGGCAUUUUUUUUUCCUCCUUUCUAAAUACAAAUUAUUAAUUCAAAGAGAGUGGUAUAACUGUUCCCUGAUAUCUCACUUAAAUGCUAGCUAGCAGGCCUUUCUCGGUUCUACUUCUGAAAGAAAAACAAUUUUCAAUAGAAUUGUAUUUGUUGAAUGCUGAUUAAACUAAAUAGUAGAGUUUAUGUGGAAAAUAAGGUAGAAAAUUACAUGUGUGACUUACUGAUUUAAACUUUUGUGUAUCUUAGAAAAACAUCACCAGAUUAAACCGUGGCAGUGAUUAAAUAUAAUUCAUAAUACAGAUAAGAGGAUGAUGUUGCUUGUAAUGAAAGAAGAACUUUUCGUGUUUUACCAAACUUGGGUUACAAGAGAGCAAAUAAGACACACAUACAAGGAAAGACCCAAAUCUGCGACAGCACACGUCGUAUGUCUGUAUAUUCAAUUACCCCAACAUGUAAUAUGUAAAAGAUAGUAAGAUCUCCAAGUCUUGUGUCUAGUCAAAAGAAAAGGUGAACUCUGCUUCAGCUCAGCCCCUGAGACAAAAUUAGGGCAAUCUGGGUGAUCGGAUAGCCCAGAUUCAGAAAGGUGCCUAAUUCUUGGCCGGAAUCAUAGCACUCUUCUGGUUUGGGACAUCUAUAGAAGGCAAUCAGAUCCUCAGUACUUAUGGUUCCCAUCAAGAAAACCUGUUCUACUCCAUUCCUCCUCUCUGCCUUGCAGUGUGUGUUUCCUGUAGCAGCUUACUAAGCCUUGUAGCCUGGUUUCAUCAGCAUGCUGCUGAUAUGCAGCCCUACGCUGUGAGCUGAUACGACCCUGACCUCACAGGUACUGCGACCUUGUGCCUAGACAUCAGGCAUCUUUUGGUGGCUGAAACUCAGAUUAAGAUGGUGACAAUGGUGAGAGCUGGAGAAACUGCUUUACAUUUGCAGCUAUGAAUGAGGACAAACUGGAUUAGGGGUAAUGGCAUAGGAGGGAGGAUUCUUUGGAAUGGUGGCGGUGAAUGGAGGUUUGCUGCCUUUAACCUUUCCAGUUCCGUGCAUUUACUUUGCAUGUCUGUGAUCUCCCAUUGUGGUACAGGAUUUGCAGUGAGUCUGGGUGCUGGUGGAGAGCAGGCAUGGAGCUGUGCUGAACAUUUACUAUGGAAUAAUAAGGGAGGGCUAGUGGCCUUUCUUUCAUCUUAAUAUGAGUCAGCCAUUACCGAGGGACGUGGGCAGAGCUUCAGUGUUCUCCACUGGAAUUGCUUGGCCAUUGUAAAAGAGGGCAAAAGCUGGAGCUUCGGUAGGCUUGGAGCUUCUGCAAAUUGAGCUGCAAUGCUCUAGUGAUUCAUUUUGGUCUUCAGAAAGUGCUCGCUCAUCUUUGAGGCAAUAAGCCCAACUCCAGAAUCUGAUAAAUCUAUUUACAAACCCUUAAAUCUGAUAAUCUACCUUGGCUGAUAAUCCCAGGUGCCUGAAAGGAGACAAGACUACCAUCUGUCGGCAGCGUUUGUCCAUCUGUAGGGUAACCAGUGCUACAGAGCUUCCCCUGUUGUCCUGCAAAGCUUUGCUCUGCUAUGUGUGUGUGGCCUGGGAACAUCUGAACGUAUCCUUUGAGGGGCAUUGGACUUAGUGACUUCAGCAUCCUGUACCAACCCAGUGCCUUACUACUCCCGUUAUAGCACUGGUAUAGCAUCGCAGGGAGCAGAGACCCAGCUCCUGUCACGCUGGACUUUCCAUCCACCUCUGUAAGAGCUGUUCCUAGGAAAUUAUCCUUAAUUAAACAAGAUAAAGAGAAGAGAAGCAGAAUCCCUCUAAAGAGAAGCAGAGGGAUUAAAACUAGGGCUGAGGAGCUGUUUAUGCGGAGUCUCUCCAUGGGGGAUGUUCUUCAGUUUGUCUCAGCAUUCCAAGAGUCCUUUAAGUGAGAGGCUGUGGUUUACGGAGUCAACAGAUUUAAGCAGGCUACGAAUAUUAAUUAUUAAUUGCUCUUGGAGAGUGCUAUACAUUAGAUUGGUGAAGUAGUUAACAGCUAUGCCUUCUCCUCCCCACAGGCGCGCUCUUGCUGUCAGAUUUCUCUCCCCAGCUAAGACCCUGGUGCUAGAAUUAGGCCAGAAACUAUUUUCCAGUCGAGUGGCUUUUAAUGGGCUCUCCAGGAUUCUUCUUUGCAUCCUGUGAGCGAUGAGAUGUGUGGAGAGGAGAGAUGGUGGGAUUGAUUCAUACCGUAGGAAGUAAGAGAGAUUUAACUAAGUGGGGCUCAGUGCUGCUAGAGCUGCAGGAAGCCCUGUGGCAGUUGUAUCUUGCACUCCAGAAGCACCUGUUAAUUAUCCACUGCACUGGGCAGUGCUCUGGAGGAGCCCACCUGCAGGAGCCCACAGGGAAAUGGUAUUUCUGCUGAAAGGCAAGGCUGUGAUCUUUUGGGAUCUUCUCCAUCAGGAGUCCUAGGCAGCCUGAUCUAGUGUUUGACAGCCCUGCCCAUGGAGGGUGGGUUGAAACUAGAUGGCCCUUAAGGUUCCUUCCAACCCAAACCAUUGUGUGAUUCUGUGACCUUGGAUGGUGUACUGUUGGGCUCUCGUGGGCUCACACAGCUGGGAAUUCCUUAACCUCCUCAGCUCUGGCAGCAUGUGUGAAGUGUAAUGAGCGUGAUGGUUUGGAGAUGGUUGUGUGUUUCAUAGAAUCCUUAGAGUUGGAAGGGACCUCUGAAGGCCGUCUAGUCCAUCUAGUUUCAUCUCCCUGCAGAUGUUGAGGAGGUGUCAUGGUGUGUCCCUUACUGCUUUUAAAGACAGUUCUCCCUUCCUUCCUGCAUCUCUUCUCCAGCCGGACAUUGCAGAAUGGUGGCUUGCAUGAAGCCAGAGGCCAAGCUCUAUGGUCUGGAGCCUCACAGGGAGUCCUCCAAGUGAAGGAUGAGCCCUGAGCUGCAGGAGAGAUCUACUCCCACUAAACCAACCUCCCGAGGGGACUUACUUCGUUUGACUGGCUCCGUCAUCCUCAGGAGGAAACUUUCCUCUGCAAGAUGGUGAAAUAGUGCCCAUGUGGAAACGUUCUGACUGCAUGCGCCUGGAGUCCGGCAUUGUUGCAGAGGAGGAGGGCGGCAUAGGAUGGCUCCAAAGAAAAGAGGUCUGCAUCAGAAGGAAAACCUCCUGCCAUGCCAGCUUGCCCAGACCUAACGGUGAGACGGCCUUUCCCAGCUACAUUAAGGGCUGCUUCUUGUGGACUGGAAGUAUUGCCAAAGAGUGAGUGAUCCUUAUUAAUAUGCAUCUCCAAAAACAACAGGCAGUCUUGCACAGAUCCUCUCACACGUAUCUUUGGAUUUUGAGACAGUGGAGAGCUAUUUAUUCCCUCUCACACCAAUGUCAGCCAUAGCGCAAGAUGUCUUGAGCUGAUUAAAAAUCUCUUUAAUCAAAUGCUGGCAGGGGAAGUGUUCAGAAUGUUAGAAGGAUGACUUUGACAAGCUGCCCCUGCACUGUGAGUGACUUCAUCCAGAGGUUGGCCCGGCAGACUGGCGUGUGAUACAAAGCCUCCACUCACCUUGAUUUCCAAAGCUGCCAACAAACUGCAGUGACGAUGCUGAGAAGCCAGUAGGGCACUGUAGCCUGUGCUCAGUUCUUCUCCGUUAGAUACUGACCCCCCCAAAAAAAACCUUUGCUACAGGCAAAAUCCAUCACUCGAUUCAUCAACCCCUACCUACGCUUCAAAUUCCUAUAUCCCAAAUCCAUGGGAACGAUUUUGAACAUGAAUGUAGGCUGGAAAUCAUUGCUGUGCAGAUUGUCUGGAGGCUUUUUUUUCCCCCCUGUUCUAUGGCUGAACUGGACUUCAAAAGAAUAAAUAAAAUCCAUUCUGGUAGCACCCCCUCCUCCCCCCCCCAACCCCCCAGGAGGAGUGUACUUCUAUGGAGAAAGGGCAUAAAGAAACCUCCUGAUAUUUUAUUCAACCAGAAUUAAGUGUUUUGAUUUUGGGGAAUUCAGCUAAUUUUCUUACUCCUCAAAAUAGGUCAGCUUUGAAAUAGAAGAUGUCACGCUGUAACAAAAAAAGGGGAAUAGAUUUGUUUAGUGAAUGUAAGAUUAUACAUACAUACUUCUGGAAUUUUAACAAGCUUAUGAAUGGAAAGAAAGCAUCCAGGUUGUUUCUCAGUCAGUUAGACUUGGAUUUAGGACCGGUUUUCACUCUCCAUAAACUGCAUUUCUUUUUCACUUAGAAGAUCCCCUCCCACCACAAAAGCCCCUUCCCCUUUUGCCAUUGCUGGAAAUAAAUAGCCAUAAUAUAGCUGGAAUUAAUACAGCUACACUGAGUCAACUAAGUGCUGAAUUUUUCUUUCCCAAUGCUCUCCGGGCACCCAGACGUGCUCAAUAGGAAGUGUUGGCACUUGGGGCUACGUAUAGAAAACCAGGGUGUGUGCUGCUGGGGCUGUUAGGGAGGAAAUCUUGUGCCAGCAGCCCUCUGCUGUGGGCCUUCUCCAAGCUUUGUCUCUAUUCCCUCAUUCCUCUGCAGAUGUCCUAAGCCACAUUUUGCUUUCAUUAUGACAAAAAUUGUGCAAGAUACUCAUCUUCUUUUAUUUAUUUAUAUAUAUAUAUAUAUAUAUAUAUAUAUAUAUAUGUAUAUGUAUUUUGUAGCAUUUCUGUGUUCCUACACCUUCUCUCUUUGCGGCAUUGCUUGUGGACAUGUAAGUAGUAGGUUAGUUUCUAUUCUCACUCUGGGGGGUUGGGUUCCAAACUGUUUAUUGAGUAAUAAAAAGAGAAAAUGGCGAGUCAUUGCCCAGGGAUAAUGUGCUAAUAAUUUUAUGACUGGACAAAUGGUUGCAACAGCCCACAAAUGGCUGUAGGCAGGAAACCUGGUGUCUAUUGCUGACAGAGCCACCCCCAAGGAGAUAAAACCUCACUUUUGGUGAUCAAAGUUGAUGCAACAACUGUGAUCUAUUAAAAAUUACUUUGGAGAUGGGUAAGGCAAUCAUUAUUCCUCUUGGAGGAGAAGUGGCGGACAUAGACUUUUUGGGAAGUGUUUAGAAGAGAGCUCUACAUGGGAUGAAUGCAACAGACCACCGUGGCUGCUUGCGCUCGGAGCCACGCGGCGCGCAGCUGCAGGGCUGCAGGCUGGGGAUGCUUGGAGAAACAAAGAUUAAAGGGGGGUUAGUGCUAUCAGGCAAACACGAAUCAUCCCAGAGAUAACAAAGGGUUGAAGUUUAUUUAGCCACUAACCGUAUGGCACUCAAGUGCGUUAGCCUGGCUUGACUGCUGCAGAGCAUGGAGCCGGAAUGGCUGCUGCAGGGCGUACACCAGGAUACACCCUGUCCCACUCUGGGCUGAUGUCCCCUGUCUGAUUACUCAAGGAGGAUGUCCCCCUCCUGGGGAUGGGGCAGUUGUCCCAUCGGCACCAAUUUCUUCCCGCUGUUGUGGAGUUUGGUGGGGAAGGAUGAGCAGGGCCCUUGUGAGGUCUCUCUCUGCCCGUCUCCCAGCAGGCAGGAGGAGCUGUACCUCUUCCAAAGCCGCAGCAGAUCCAGCCCUCGAAGCGGGCAAGAAGCCAUGUGAUGGGGCGUAGCUGCUCGCAGCUGCCAAGACCUCACAUUUGUAUGUUAGUGAUGCAGAUAGGAUCUCAUAAACCCGUCUCCAUACUGCUUUACUGCUGAUUUAACGAUCAGAGGAAGAACUUGACUGUUUAUUAAAACAUUAGACAGUAAAGUUUAACAAUAGACAGUAAAGGGUUUUGUUUUUCCAUCCCUCUGAUUGUUAAAGCAACAACACAUAGGCCUGGAGAGGGGCCUGCUGCUAACCUCAGGAUGAUGGGAUGGGGCCAUGAAGCUCCUCCAGAAGGCAGGAUAGAGCAGCUGGCAUUCUGGCAAAUCCCAUAUCUGAAGAAGGAAAUCUGAUGUAGGGUAUGGGUGCGUGCCCCAUCACCGGAGGCGCUGAGGGCUGGGCUGGAUGGGGCCCUGGGCAGCCUGAGGUGGUGGGGGGCAGCCAGCCCAUGGCAGGGGUAGGACUGGGUGGGCUGUAAGGUCCCUUCCAACCCAACCAUUCUGUGAUUCUAUGAGUCUGACUGCGAGAAGGGGCAAUCCAAUUGCUCUGUGGGCAAGAGUCUCGUGGUAGGGCUCCUGUUGUUCAGCAGACCCACAAACACCGGCAAAGGGAGCAGAUGGAAACAAAACUCGCAAGGCAACAGCAUUAUUCAGGACAGUGCCAACAAAAGCUGACUGCGAAGAAACGCCGAAGGAUUGCAGCGUGCAGGUGAUGAAAUGGCAGAGGAAAUUCAUUGUUGGUAACUGCAGAUAGAGAAAAAUCAGCAGUGGCUGUACCCAUACAGCAGCACCAUCUCAAUGAGCUAUUGCCUCUCUGGAAGGAGGCUGUGGAGGCAAGGCAGGCUGUUUCUGGAAACGUCAGCAGUGAUCACAAAGGCAGUGGCCAUUCUAGGAGUUACGGAGGAAGAAAUGGAGAGUAAAACAGGCUGCCAUUGUGCUGCUGGGUGCAUCCACAGUGCAUCCCCAUCCGAGGUGCUGCCCCUGCUUCUGGUGGCCGUGUCUUGGGGCCAAGGGAAGAUGGAAGAGGAGUUACAGGGACUUCAUAGCAGGACCUCGAGAACUUGAGCUGAAGUGGACAGAUCUGGAGGAGAAGAUGAGAGGAAGAAAGCCCUGGGUGGCUUGGAGGAGUUGGACAUGGAGCUGGACAAGCAUCUGCUCUGUGUCUGUGCUGAUGCUAUUUAGAAACCCCAGCCUUGGCUCUGCUUGACAUUUGGUAAUGCUGAACUGGGACAGCACCCAAAAAACCCCAUCCGUGUUGGACCGUCAGUAAGAGGUGGCACAUCUGACCAAAACCACGUCGCCAUUUGCUUCCUUGACAGCACAUCCUACCUUAUCCCCUGUCCUUGUCCUGCUGACCCCCGUUCCCAGCCUCCCUUGCUCAAUUUCAGCAGCAUCUUGGGAGGCCCCUUCAGCUGCAAGCCCCUCGCUUGGGAAAGAAAGUGGGGUUGGAGGGGGGGGAUCAGAGCCCAGCUGUGGGCUGGGGCAGCAGGCGAGUGCUUUCCAAACGCUGACUGCUGUUGGUGUAUUUCUGCUGGUGAGGAUGCAGCUGGCAGCGUUUGUGUGCAUGCGUUUAUACACACACACACACACACACACAUACUCACCUCCACACGAGUACACGACUAAAAUACAUAUAUUUCCUCACCCCGCAUCUUUCUGCAAGCUGCAAAAAUACAAAAGAAUAAAAUUAAGUCUCUUAUCGCUGCUAAGUCAUCAGAAACUAAUAUUGCAUCUACCGGGCAGUUUUCCCCCUCCCCCCCCCCCGAACCAUCUCCACUUCGCAAUCCUAAUUCAAUGAUUCUUUCUGUAGCUCUUUACAUUCUAUUAUUUAUAAGAAACAAUAUUCAGCCCUCCCCUGACAGUGUUUGCAGGGCUGCGGGAAGCAGUGCGGCAGAAAGGUGGUAGAACAAUUUUGGUUAUGUUUCCAUAGCUACCUAGCUGCUAAAUGUGGUUUAUUCCAUUUUAAAGUCAACCAACACACACCCGCACGCACACGCACAAACCACCAGAUGAAGUGUAUUCAAACUAAUCCCUGGGCCGCCUAUUACAGCCUAAUAUCCCUGCCAUUUGUAUAUUUAAAGGGAUAGUUGCUGCAGAAAUAAAUGGCAGGGCAGCGCUCUCGCUGGCUAGAGCAGGAUGAUCAACAUAUUGUUUCUUUCUUGCUCUCCUCUCCGACGUGUGUGUUCCACUCCAUCCCUGUAAUAUUAUUAUGGAGAUUUUUACCGAGGGCUGAGAGCUGAGGAAGUCGGAGGUAGGAUGGUGUCCUCUCGUGGCAGUCAGCAUCUCUGCAGCCUGAUGGUAGCCGUGCCAAGAGAGAGCCGAGCCUGGGCUCUCCUGGGCAUGCACGGCUGUCUUAGGGACAAAACUCUUGGAGCAGAGCUUCCCACCUCCCCUAGUGCACCCAAAGACGAGGAGCCUCCUGCUUCUGCUCCACGCCAGGCUGGAGGCUGCUGCUUGCUCUUGCUUUCCCUGCGUGAAAGAAGAACCCUUGGGAAAGGAGUGGUGGGUACCAGCUUUGCAGAGCGGAGGAAGUUUGUCCCAUGGAAGUGAGCAUCUCUGAGCUGCCGUGGGUUGGUGGAGAACAUCUCAGAGCUUGUAAUCGCCAGGAGGGGCUAGUUGUGAAUUGAUUCCCAAUGGCCACAGUGCUCUCCUGUGCUGUCAUUAUGUGUGAUCAUAAGUAAUAACAACAAUCACCGUGUCACUGCUUCCGAGGCAGGCUUUGUCUCUCUGCAUUGGCACCCUUUCAUCUCCAGCUCCCCAGCACGCUGCUGCUGGCAGGUCGGUGUGUUUGUUGGGUUGGUGGUGACAGGUAAUAAUCUGAAGCCUGCAACGUCUCAGCAAGCAGCUGAAGCAUUUCUUCUGCCUUUUCUGCCCCUUCACCCAGCAGUGCUGGGCAGGGGACUCGCAGGACCUGACUGAGAUAGAUCCUCUUCCCAUUGCCCUGGGGAAUGGCAGAGUUUAUAGCAGCAACACAUCAGGCUGAGAUAUCCAUCCAGCCGUCCCCUCCGGGUUAAGGAGGGUUCUUUAUUUUUUUCUUAAUGGGUUCAAUGUUUUACAGCUAACGUUCAAAUAGCAGCUUAAGAGCUUAAAGAACGAAACAGAAGGAUGUGUUGGCACGUCAGGAUGUCCUUCCUCCUCCUGCCUGCCAUGCUCUGCCUGGUGUUAACCCAAGGAAAAGUACCAAUAAACUGUGAGCCUCCUCUGAGCGGUGCAUCCUAUUCAUGGCAUUCCUUCUAUUCUUGUCCAUACCAGCCCAAGGGUACUGCUAUUGCUAUCACUUUCCCUUUAUUUAUAUGCGCUCAGCCACCAGCCCUUAAUAUUCUGUAACACGAGAGCACACCUUCCUGAUCACUUUCCUUCAUUAAGAAAACUUCAUUUCAGCGCUGACGGGGAAAUGAAUUGGGUGAAGGAAAACAAACCACCCUAACGUAACCAUAAGCUUUCUGGUUGGAUUAAAUAUUAAAAUUAAUAAUCCAGCACUGCAUUCAGCCUUGUAUUUAUGUUAAUAUUUAAUUCAAUAAAAGCCCACAUUUUAGAACACUUUCCCAUUUGUUUAAAGCUGCAGAUGAAAUUGUGGUCUCGGCAUUAUGUAGAACAAUCCGCAGCUGACUGCUUUAUGGUAAUGAGGAGGAAUGGCAGCUCCAGAGCCCUCCACCCAGGCAGGAGGGGAAGAUCCAGAAGCGAGAGGAUGUGAGGCUGCUGGGGAAUGUGAUUCUUGCUCGGCUCUCUAGGAGAGAGGCCGUGUGAUGGGCAAUGGUGGUGCAAAGCCCAGGGGCAGUGAGCGCUCUGUGUGUGACUCUGGGACCCAUUUGCAUGCCACAUUGCACAGGGGAGCAGCCAUGCAGCAGCUCAAGGAUUUGGGGAAUCAUAGAAUUGUUAAGGUUGGAACUCUAGGUCAAGUCCAACUGUCAGCCCAUCACCAUCAUGCCCACUAAACCACGCCCCUGAGUGCCAUAUCCCUGUGCUUCUUUACCGUGUCUACACGUUUCUUGAGCACCUCUGCUGCUAAAGAGAGAAAACCAACAACCUUUUGAUUAAUUUUUAACUUCCUGUCUGUUAACUUCAUGGGUGCAACAGUAGAACUCCAGGAGGCUUCAGUUUGUGUUAUAGUCUUCCCAGCCAUCACUUCCCCAACAAGUCCUUGCCCUUGGAAAUGCCCAAGCUGUCAGGAAUAGCCGAUGUGUGUGAGGAAGAGGAGUGAAGGAGCUGCUGCUUUCUGGCUGCAAUUCGGAUCUCCUGCUUCGACUUCAGAGCCAACAUCCAGACCUCCUGCUCGCCAGGGGCUGUUCCACUGGGUGCUGCAGACCCAGAGUGCCUCAUAAAUCACCGCUGACUGCCGGGAUCGCUUUGGCCGCUCUUCCCCAUCGUCCUGUCUGCAGGAAUGGGCUGCACGUUUCCACGUGGAUCGGGUCUGAAUUGGCUGUCUGAAUCCAGAGAUUAAAGAAACAGCAGCCUCUCUCUCUCCUGUAACUGGCCCGAGAAUCCAUGAGCAUCCUCAGAAGUCUGAAGAGAAUGGGCAUCCUGUCUAUAUCCAAGGCAGGUAAUCACUGUAAAGAGACCCUUGAAGUGCUUGAUGGUGUACUGAGGAAGGUUCUUGGAUUCCAAGGCAAGAAGCAAAGCCACUUGGUAUGCUCCCUCCAUCGUUCCAGUGAUGUCACUCCCAAGGGCCAAGUGUGAUAGAGACCCACCUCGUCUGUGCGGGUGGCUGGAAGGGCAAAAGCUGCAUUUCCCCACGCUGGGGGCUGCGGAGGAGGCAGAGGCAGAUACCUGGGGCUCCCUGGCAGCGCUUGCUGAAGAUCAGCCUUGAUCAGAACAGGUCUUCUCACAGGAAACAUCAACUUUUUGUCAAAAAAGCCUGAAGAUAAAUAUUCUUGGAUGAAAACCUAUAAAAAGCUCAGACUGACAAACUAUUUUUUUUAGGCACUUCUUUUUCUCCCAACAAGAAUAUAUCUGUCAAGAGAAACAGAUGUUCUCUAUGAAGAAUCUUCUUUAAUUACAAGUCUGUCAAAAAGAGAAAUCUUCAAGUGUCUCAAGCCUCAAAUCUGCGAAUGGCUUCAGCCCUGGGCAAGAAAUCACCCCUUUCCUGAGCAGCCCCAGUGCCCUUUCUCAGCUCUUGUCAUGUCAUCCCUGCAGCUGCACCAAUAAACUGGGCAUUUUUGGAGUUUAGUUUUCAGAUGAGCCCGCUUCAAAUCAAUGGAGCUGCUGCUUUUCGUGACUCCUGGGAAUAAGAUGGCGUGGAAACAACCCACGGCCAUGCCCAAAUAAGAAAACUAAAAGAAUUAUUGGUUUUGGUCAACCUGGAACAUGGCUCUUUUUGCCCUGACAUUUUCCUAGAGGAAAGUGAAACUCUUCAUCUACAGAUUCAAAAAGUCCCAAAGGCACUCUGUCAGACAUCUCCCAACGUGCUCUCUCAGUUAUUGCUGGAUGGAUCAGAAGUUCUCCAGGGAGCAGUGAAGAUGUUUUUGCGGGCUACAUAACCUCAAAGGCUGAAAAUACUCAAUUCCAGUGUCUGCUUCUUGCUUCCAGAGGAGAUAUCUGCUCUUUGUCUUCAUCUUCAUCGUCAUCAUCUUUGUCUUUGUCUUCAUCAUCUUUGUCUUCAUCUUUGUCUUUGCUUUGUCUUUGUCCUCCUUCUCCUUCUUUCUCUCUCUCCUCUUCCUCUUCCUUUUCCUCCUUCCUCCAGCUCCUAAAUCCCCACCUUCCCUCCUUUCCUUCUCCCCAUCAUGCAUUGCAUGCUGAAUGCAGGAGGCUCUCAAAGGCAAGAGUCGGCCUGGGACACUCUUACCCACAAUAGCAGUGGUGAACAGAACCCAGGUUUUCAGCCAGGAAAUUUCACUGGUAAUCUCCUGCGAGGGAGGCACUCCCAUUUUUCAUGAUGGUUGGCCCUUGCGGGAUAUGGAUGAAAAGAGAAAGCAUUUCAUUUGCUCUUUGAAAACUGGAGCUAUAGAUCAAGGCCCUGCUCAGUCCCCUGAAGACUAGAAAUGGGAUUUUUGCAAGAAUUGAGGCUAUCCUCUCUGAAAACUAAAACAGUUAUCUACACUUUCAUCGAGAGGUCAGCAGUAGAGAUUUUUCUCCAACAGCUGGAUAAAUCCAGGCUGUUAGUGCCUCUCCUUCCCACUGUUCUCUGUUAUUGCUUUUCAUUACGUGAAGGGUGAGGAACAAGCAAAUACCUCUGCUUUCUAGCUUUGCCCUUGCCCGUUUGUACAAAGCAGCCAAACAUUUCCUUCUGACACUCAGGACCCAAGCACCUUUGGUGUCUGAUAUUUCUCCUUGGAUGCCGUGGUCUGGAUGCAGUUGCUCAGGGCUGCUUAAUCCUACCAGAUGGCAUAGAAAUGUUAUUUUUUGGACACAGGCACUCCUCUUGCCGGGUAUGGGUGCCACGGGACCAGGGCAUCCUUUGUCACCUGGACCCAUUGUGAUCUCCUGUAACACUGGGCAGGAGGGUUUGCGGAAUCACGCUGCAUCCUGCGUCCCUGAGCCUUGCAGCCAUAAAUCCUUUGCCUCUGCCACAACUGUGAUUGAGCCUGCCUGGCUUAAUUUAUUUCUCCAGAGCCCACACAGUUAUGGUAGAGAUGAUUGCCUGCUCAAGGAGCAGCACUUGGGAUGAAAUCUUUUCCUCUUGAGAGUGCUGCUGGAAAAACAAGGCAGUGUCCGUGAGCUGCCAGCAAUCCCCAUGUAGGCAUUGUCUUUGCUUGGCCACUUCUUUGCGGUGCUCUCAUCCUUCCUGACCUCUCCCCUUCUCUCCCUUCCUUUAAGUCCUUUUCUCUCUGUUUCAUUUCUACCUAUGUCUCUUCCUCUUCAGGUUCCUCGCUAGGCACUGGAGCUGAUUGCAGUGGUGAUCCAGCAAAUCACAGUAGUGAUGCUGCUGAUGGAAUAACUCCUUGGGGUUCCACGCGGUUGCUGUGCGGGCACUGAGUUUCAAACUGCAGAAAAGGAGCAGGAAAGCCUGAUAUUUGGGUGCAUCAACUGGAGCUUUCAUCCCCACCCCAGGGAGAUGGGUUUUGGAGCCCUAGCAGUCUGCCCACCCUAUGGACAUGGCCAGAUACCCCCAGUUCCUUCCCAAGCACUGCUACCCAGAGAGGUGCUCUGUCCUGGCUAUGGGAGUUGAGCACGAAUAACUCACAAAUAAUGGAAAUCCCCACCAUGUGCCCCCAGCAUUGGCACGGCUCAGAGCCCUGCAAGAAGCGCGCUGCCUUGUUUGUCACCUGAAGCACUUGGAAAAAUUACACAAAUCCAUCAAUGUAAUGAAUCUUCUCAGCAGUGGCGAAUAGACAGAGACAGACAGGCACUCAGCUGAAACAAGUCAUCUUUAAAAAUUAAUACAAAAUAAACAGCUGGCCUUUCGCUCCGCUUCCAGGUGGUGGCUGCGUGGUUUGGGCGAGGGCUGGGCAGGGAUCAAUGAUGGUUCCCAAUGGGAUCACGUCCCUGGGGCAGGGAAGUGUCCUCUGCCGUGUCCCUGUCACUGUCACAGUGUCACCUCCAUCUGCUGCUGCUCCAGGAAUGGUGGUGCAGCGCGGCAGUCAGUGUUGCACUGCGUGAGUGACUGCUUAAGAAACAGCCAAAUCUUUGGGAAUGCCAAAGCCUCAUCACCUCCCUACAGCCUUGCCAGGCUUCUGCCAGCCCUCUGGGCUCUCACAUCAGUUUGUCAGUGUCUGAUGGAGCUUGUACACUCCUCAGAGGACAGGCUGAGCUUGCUCUCCUGCUUGUCACGAUGUGGGCUCCAUAAAUAAUUAACAGCGGUGCUGCUUCUGCCCUCGAGCUUUCAUUUCAUUACCCAGGAAUAACAUACCCACCUAUAUACGUGUGUAUGUACAUGUCUGCGUGUAAUACGCAUCCAUAUGUACUUACAUUGCUUAAACAUCUGUUUCACCGGCCAGCCUCUCUGCUUUUCCUUCGGCCAUGGCUCUGUCUCCCUGCUGGUCCCAAGGGCAGGCAAGCAGCAGAAGGCGCUGCUCUCGACCGUGAGCAUCCCACCAGUGCUCCAGCUGCUCCUGCUCUGAGGCCAGGCUAUUUACGAGGUACCCAUGGGGCUGCCCUUGCCCUGCAGAGUGUGGGGAUGGAGAGCGGGGAGGAAGACGGAUGGAUCCUGAAUUGAGGUGAAUUUAUGGGGCUUUGCGAUUCCUGCUGCUGUAUGUCUCCGAGAAAUGACACCGCCACUUCAGGAGCAGAGAUUAAUCUGAGCCGGCAGGAGAAGGACAAAACAAAUCAUCUACUGCAGGAAUCUCAUUUGAUGCCUGUUAGUAAAAGCACUGCGAUGAAUGGCUUUUGUAAAGACCGCGUAGUACAGGCUUUUUUUUUUUCCUCCCUUUUCUCCAUUCGUCUGCAAAUUGAGGUCUGUGAGGUGUGUGGUGGAGGCACCCCAGGGUCACUCAUGGCCAGGCACAGGACAAGGACUCCCAGCAGCUUUGUGCACUGUGAGACAGGAGAGCAAAAAAGGGAAGGCAGAGCUCCCAGCGCGUCGUACCCAAGGAAGGAAUCCUUCGCUUUUGUUUUUAAAAGGGCAUUGAUUCUCACGUCCUGCAGAACACGGGGUCGGGGCAGCCUGCAGCCCCAGACAGAACAUCCCAGUGCUGCUCUGCAUCCCAGCCAGCAGCAGCUGGAUGCGGCCCAGUGGGAGCAGUACCAGCACCGAGCACUCCUCCCGCACGCCGCUGUGCAUCCCAGCUCAAUACAGAAUCAAUUGGAUUGAUCUUUUUUUAAGGUGCAGCCUCCGAACGGCUGAGACUGUGAGAGACGUGGCUAAGCACGCACUUCCACAAAAUAAUUUGUCAGGCCCCGCUGUAGAAACCUAAUGAUGGCUGUAAUUUAUUGCUGACAGACGAUAUUUAUCACCGCAGCAUCCCCUCUUUCUCUUCCUCUGUCUCGUUAGGAAUGGCAUCAAUAAUGUUUAUUGUAGCUUUUAAUUUUUUAUCGCUGGUAUUCUUACCUGUGCUGCUGAGGGCUGCAGGAGAUGGGAAAGGCGUCAGAGCAGAUGGAGGCUCAGCUCUGUGCUGAAGGGUGAGCGAUGAAGGCUGGAAGUUCCUCCUGCGUGCCCAUGCAGGGAGCGUGCAGUGCCAGAGAGCACCCCGAUAGCAGGGAAAAGUGAGCUGUUCCCAUAAAGCUUACUCCCUCUCUUCUGAGCCUUUGGACCUGUGCAAGGGAUGCUCAGACCCAGCAAAGCAGUGGCAUUGCUUUGGUUUUCCCCAGACGCUGCUCCCACGUGGGGCUGGAGAAGGAACAUCACCCCUCCGCUGCUGCACCUGCAUUGCUGCGAUCAUCUCACACCUGAUGAUGCCCACAAGCCCUGUGGUCACAGUUCUUGUCCCUGAAAGCAACCAAAACCCCAACUCCAAUCCUGAAAUCUCCUUUUUUUCCCCUCGUUUUCCUACAGUUUUUCCUACCCUUGAGGAAAUGUGCUGCACCAGGUUGUGAUGCCCUAUAAACCAGCACUUCCCAGAGGGGAUUUCUUCCCCCUUUCCAGACGUGAAUAAUUACCCAGGCAGAGGCUGUUCCAGCCUCGUUACAGGAGCCUCUCAGACUAGCCGGUCAUUUACAGAUUAGAUAGAUGUUGCCCACGUUGUUCAUAACUGAUUAUGGGAUUGGCAGUUUGGCUCUCACCCAAAAUUCAGAGUCCUGAUUUAGCAUAAUUGGAAGUGAAUGGCGGAGCAGGCUGGGGGAUGGGGAUGGUGCCUGCUGCUGAUUUCCUAAUGCCGGCUUUGGGGAUCCCUGACAAGCUGCGGAGUGCUCUUUAUAGGGCAAUAACGUUUACGGUGUGGGUUGUCUGGGGGAGGAACUCCUGUGAUGGCAGCAGCCACCUCCUGCACGUCCCAGAUCGAAGCUGGAGAAAUCAAGAAUACCAGAAAAGCAACGAGGAUGAUAUUAAAAAGUAAUCCCUUCUGUGUCAAGGUGUGGGCUUUUUUGCUUAUAGAAAUUGUUCUUCUGCAUUAAUCUAUUCUACUUUGUGCUAUCCUGUCCUUUUACUGACUUCUGUUCCUCCCUUAGUUUAUCCCACUAAAUGUUGGCGUUCCCACUGUUGACCCUUCAUGCACCCAUAGCCUUCCUUGCACUUAUUCUCACAGCCCCUCUCUGCUGGAGGCUCCAAGAGCACAGUGCAAUCCAUUGUGCAAUCCACAAUGCAAUCCAGUUUGUCC